rnacentral:rRNA from 1 species
GACGAACGCUGGCGGCGCGCCUAACACAUGCAAGUCGAACGAGCGAGAGAGAGCUUGCUUUCUCGAGCGAGUGGCGAACGGGUGAGUAACGCGUGAGGAACCUGCCUCAAAGAGGGGGACAACAGUUGGAAACGACUGCUAAUACCGCAUAAGCCCACGGCUCGGCAUCGAGCAGGGGGAAAAGGAGCAAUCCGCUUUGAGAUGGCCUCGCGUCCGAUUAGCUAGUUGGUGAGGUAACGGCCCACCAAGGCGACGAUCGGUAGCCGGACUGAGAGGUUGAACGGCCACAUUGGGACUGAGACACGGCCCAGACUCCUACGGGAGGCAGCAGUGGGGAAUAUUGCACAAUGGGAGAAACCCUGAUGCAGCGACGCCGCGUGGAGGAAGAAGGUCUUCGGAUUGUAAACUCCUGUUGUUGGGGAAGAUAAUGACGGUACCCAACAAAGAAGUGACGGCUAACUACGUG